rnacentral:rRNA from 1 species
AUACGUAGGGUGCGAGCGUUAAUCGGAAUUACUGGGCGUAAAGCGUGCGCAGGCGGUUAUGUAAGACAGAUGUGAAAUCCCCGGGCUCAACCUGGGAACUGCGUUUGUGACUGCAUAACUAGAGUACGGCAGAGGGAGGUGGAAUUCCGCGUGUAGCAGUGAAAUGCGUAGAUAUGCGGAGGAACACCGAUGGCGAAGGCAGCCUCCUGGGCCAGUACUGACGCUCAUGCACGAAAGCGUGGGGAGCAAACAGGAUUAGAUACCCUGGUAGUCCACGCCCUAAACGAUGUCAACUAGUUGUUCGGUGAGGAGACUCAUUGAGUAACGCAGCUAACGCGUGAAGUUGACCGCCUGGGGAGUACGGCCGCAAGGUUAAA